CCUCCUGGAGUGGAGGAGGUCACAGAAGAUGCCACGUGAGCCCCAGCCUCUGCGUCGCCAUAGCAACCUGCUGGGAGGGGAGGCCUAGAAACCGGCGCCUCUCCCUCUCCGCCUCUCCCUCUCCCUCUCCCUCUCCCGGUAAGUGGGCCCGACGGAGCCAGUCCGCUCGGGAGAAGUACUUGGGCAAAGUCGAGGCGGAUUUUAGGAGGGUGACAAAUAACCACGAAGGACAAGCCUCUGGACACCCAGGCCGGGCCGGUUUCCGCCCCCCUCCACAUCUCAGGUGUCAGCAUCUGUUUCCAGGUCCCCAGGAUGCACGAACUUGCCCCCUCCAGGCAGCCCUCCGAGCUUGCCCGAGAGGAAUUUUCUCCUGACGCCUGCCCCUACAUCAGUUCUCCUUCCUUGUGCGGCUCCCCCACGGCCCUUGGGGGAAACAGCGUUGUCCAGGGCUGCCCCGUGUCAAGUAGAAAGGCCAGGAAGACCGAAGGUACAGCCUGAAGCCCACGUCUUCCCAGCAGGAGGGGCUUCUCUGACACCCCCCCCACCGACCCCCAAUUAUCUUCUUUAAAAACCAAAGGAGUUGCUGACGUGUAUAGAACAAACUGUUCCGAUUCUUAAAGAGCAAAGGCAUCUGUGAGAAACAGAGGAGGACCUGCGGGCUCUGGGGCUGCCAGGCAAGCGGGACCAGGGUGAGGCUGGCCCUGCGGAUGCAACAAGUGCUCCCCCCGCAGGUACAGCCCCAGCCUCCACUGAGGUGGGGGGGCCAGAGGUAGAGACUACAGGUGCGGGGCUCAUACA